AUUGAACGCUGGCGGAAUGCUAUACACAUGCAAGUCGAACGGUAGAGGGGGCAACCCCUCGAGAGUGGCGAACGGGUGAGUAAUAUAUCGGAACGUGCCCAGUCGUGGGGGAUAACGUAGCGAAAGUUACGCUAAUACCGCAUACGAUCUAAGGAUGAAAGCGGGGGAUCGCAAGACCUCGCGCGAUUGGAGCGGCCGAUAUCAGAUUAGGUAGUUGGUGGGGUAAAGGCUCACCAAGCCAACGAUCUGUAGCUGGUCUGAGAAGACGACCAGCCACACUGGAACUGAGACACGGUCCAGACUCCUACGGGAGGCAGCAGUGGGGAAUUUUGGACAAUGGACGCAAGUCUGAUCCAGCCAUUCCGCGUGCAGGAUGAAGGCCCUCGGGUUGUAAACUGCUUUUGUACGGAACGAAAAGGUCUCUCUUAAUACGGGGGGCUCAUGACGGUACCGUAAGAAUAAGCACCGGCUAACUACGUGCCAGCAGCCGCAGUAA
rnacentral:rRNA from 1 species